rnacentral:rRNA from 1 species
UACGAAGGGGGCUAGCGUUGCUCGGAAUCACUGGGCGUAAAGGGCGCGUAGGCGGAUGGCACAGUCAGAUGUGAAAUUCCCGGGCUUAACCUGGGGGCUGCAUUUGAUACGUGUUGUCUAGAGUGAGGAAGAGGGUUGUGGAAUUCCCAGUGUAGAGGUGAAAUUCGUAGAUAUUGGGAAGAACACCGGUGGCGAAGGCGGCAACCUGGUCCUUGACUGACGCUGAGGCGCGAAAGCGUGGGGAGCAAACAGG